rnacentral:misc_RNA from 1 species
GAUGAAGAACGUAGCGAAAUGCGAUAAGUAAUGUGAAUUGCAGAAUUCAGUGAAUCAUCGAAUCUUUGAACGCACAUUGCGCCCGCCAGUAUUCUGGCGGGCAUGCCUGUUCGAGCGUCAUUACAACCCUCAGGCCCCCGGGCCUGGCGUUGGGGAUCGGCGGAGCCCCCCGUGGGCACACGCCGUCCCCCAAAUGCAGUGGCGGUCCCGCCGCAGCUUCCAUCGCGUAGUAGCUAACACCUCGCGACUGGUGAGCGGCGCGGCCACGCCGUAAAACACCCAACUCUUCUGAAGUUGACCUCGAAUCAGGUAGGAAUACCCGCUGAACUUAAGCAUAUCAAUAAGCGGAGGA